CUUGCUGGAUGCUGACGAGCGGCGGACGGGUGAGUAAUGCAUAGGAAUCUGCCCGAUAGUGGGGGAUAACCUGGGGAAACCCAGGCUAAUACCGCAUACGUCCUACGGGAGAAAGGGGGCUCCGGCUCCCGCUAUUGGAUGAGCCUAUGUCGGAUUAGCUAGUUGGUGAGGUAAUGGCUCACCAAGGCCACGAUCCGUAGCUGGUCUGAGAGGAUGAUCAGCCACAUCGGGACUGAGACACGGCCCGAACUCCUACGGGAGGCAGCAGUGGGGAAUAUUGGACAAUGGGGGAAACCCUGAUCCAGCCAUGCCGCGUGUGUGAAGAAGGCCCUCGGGUUGUAAAGCACUUUCAGCGAGGAAGAACGCCUAGCGGUUAAUACCCGCUAGGAAAGACAUCACUCGCAGAAGAAGCACCGGCUAACUCCGUGCCAGCAGCCGCGGUAAUACGGAGGGUGCAAGCGUUAAUCGGAAUUACUGGGCGUAAAGCGCGCGUAGGUGGCUUGAUAAGCCGGUUGUGAAAGCCCCGGGCUCAACCUGGGAACGGCAUCC
rnacentral:rRNA from 1 species